UGAGGAAUAUUGGUCAAUGGGCGAGAGCCUGAACCAACCAAGUCGCGUGAAGGAAGACUGCCUUAUGGGUUGUAAACUUCUUUUAUACAGGAAUAAAAAGGCUUACGUGUAGGCCAUUGCAAGUACUGUAUGAAUAAGCAUCGGCUAACUCCGUGCCAGCAGCCGCGGUAAUACGGAGGAUGCGAGCGUUAUCCGGAUUUAUUGGGUUUAAAGGGUGCGCAGGCGGGCUUUUAAGUCAGCGGUGAAAUCUGGACGCUUAACGUCCAAACUGCCGUUGAAACUGGGAGUCUUGAGUAUGGAUGAAGUAGGCGGAAUUCGUUGUGUAGCGGUGACAUGCAUAGAUAUAACGAGGAACUCCGAUUGCGUAGGCAGCUUACUAAGCCAUAACUGACGCUCAUGCACGAAAGCGUGGGGAUCAAACAGGAUUAGAUACCCUGGUAGUCCACGCCGUAAAACGAUGAUUACUAGUUGUAUGCGAUAUGAUAGUAUGUGACUAAGCGAAAGCGAUAAGUAAUCCACCUGGGGAGUACGCCGCAACGGUGAAACUCAAAGGAAUUGACGGGGGUCAUAGCUGUUUUCCUG
rnacentral:rRNA from 1 species